AAUUAGAUACCACAUGUAUUGCAGCAUCUCUUUUCUAUAUCGUGACCUAAAUUUGGACAAUAGAGGUCAUAAGGCAUGCUUGUGAAGGUGUGUAAUGGUUGAAUAGGUAGGCAGUGGCGAAUUAAGAAUGGUGCAAAUGUUUUACCAUCAUGCUGUUCAGGAUCCGGAAUCGCCGGAUGUCCAUUAACUUGAAUGGAAUAUGGAGGUAAUAAAAAAAGAUCAUGUAGAAGUACAUGUAAAGAACUCCGACGCGGACUGCAGCACUGCUGAUCAUCGCAUUUUACAACCUAAAAUAAUAAUUAUUUUUGAUUAUUUAUAAAGAUGCAUUUGUCGGCAUGGAUGCUUGUUAAAAAAAUAUUUUUGAAAAAUGGUAAUUUUGUUUACCUGAAGUAAAUAUUGACUCUCUCUAAAAUGCUCGGUGUACCAUUCUUCAGCUGGAAAAUCUGGAACAUUAGAAAUGUCGUUUCCGCUUUUUUGAAGUUAUCUUUUUUUAAAUCAUCAUUAAUUGUUUUACCGUGGAGUCAAGAUGUGACUCAAAAGAGUCAUGGGGAAGAACAACACCUGAUAGUUCUCGGCUAAGUGGAGCCAUACGUCUCUCUACUCUAUUGAAAGCACUUCUGCCGGGGGCAUUAGUCUCAAUGAAUAUUGCGUCAAAUUCAUAUUUUUUAAAAUGCUGUAUUGAAUGUACAAUUACUUUCUGAUAUCGCGGGUUCUCAUCGGGACCGCCAUCGUUCGAAAUAAUAAGGACAGGCUUGACUUUAUCGUCUUCGUUUUUCAUUAAUUUACCAAAAGGCUGAAGAGUUAAGAGAGUGUCCAAGUCUUCAGCUUGACUAGUUGCAGUCGAAGACGAGUGCUUACCACUUUGGAUUGCUAUAUAUGUUAUUCCACUAUAUGAGACGGCUUCUGGCCGCCCCAUGUCAUUCGGUUUUACUUCACACAAAGCAUAGACACUCGGGAUCAAUUUAUGUCUUGCAGCAAUUAUAAAGUCAUGAUCUGGUAACGACACUUUAUACUCAACGUGCAUUAGCAAAGGCGCCUGCUUGUUUGCUGUUGUCAAUCCUAUGGGGACCCAUGCUUUGUCAUCUUGGGAUAAAAAAGAUAUAGAAUCAGAGCCAAGUAUUGAGGCUACAGUUUCUAGUGACCUUAUGGAAGCUACAAAAAAGUAUUGGUCUUGGUGCGCUUUAUGAUGGUCUGCUUCAGGACGACUCAACUUCACCGUUACAGUCACUACGUGGUGCUUAGCCUACCGCGUAUCUGCCCGUCUAGGCAACAGUCGAAUGUAAGCGGCGCUUCGAGAAAUAUUAAAUCCCAGCUCGAUAAGUUUUUGAGUGAGCUCUGAAAGACUAUGGACACUAGGAACAAUUUCACAGCGACGCCGUUCCUCAGCUGAUGCACCAAACAUAGCUAAAUCACUAAUAGUUUUCAGCAAUUCAGACUGCUCUUCCUCGAAGCGCGGAAGUCUAGAGCUUACUCGAGGUAUCAACGAUUUUGCUGCUCCAGGAUUUUUAGAACACAAUUCGAUAAUUUUUAUUUUAUCUAUGCUUCAUCGAGUAUACUCUUUGGUUCUCCUUAGGUUUGAGCUGUUUUUCAGAAUUAUCAAUUUCUUGCCGCAACUUCUCAUCUCUCAUCGUCGCUGAAUUUUCCGUUUUGUAGCACCUGUAGGGGAAGAAAAAAUAAAGAAAAUAUCGCACAUACAAAAAAAAGGUAAACACUAACCUGCCAGUUGAGGUUCAUUAUCGUAAUCUUGAUCCAUGAGCCGCUGAUUAUAGUGAGAAAUCUCAUUUCGAGUCACUGAUUCCUCAUGUUGAAUAAUCCGGAUGUUAAUUUCAGUUUGACUCGUGCAUUCUAAGUUUGACGUACCUUGAGCGCUUGUAUCAACUUGUGUUGAAACAUUAUCAGAGCUCCGAGUGUUUCCCUUGAAUAAAUGUAUCAUUAUAAAAACUCAAGAUUCACAAAUUAGAGACGUUUAAAACAAAAUUAUGCAUUUUUUAACUUUCCCCUAAGAAGAUCUAUAUUUUUUUCUCCUCAGCACAAUCUUGAAAUAUAUUGUACAUAAAAUUAAAUUUCUCCUAUUUCUUAUUUCUUAGACCUUUUGAUAUAUCAAUGCAUCUAAAUUUUCUUGAUUUUAGGUCUCUAAAAUAGCUAAAGAACCUAAAAUAACUAAAAUCAAGAAAAUUUAGAUGAAUUAAUAUUAAAUUUAUAGCAUAAAUAGCAUAUAGAAAACAGAGGUAUCUAACCUACCUUAGAGAGAGACCUUUUUUUCCGCUGCUUCUCUUAGAAGCUGAUCAAUCUCAUGCUGAAUAUGUUUCACCAAAUCUUCUUUCUUUGGAUACUUUUGUUUUGCUGUGUUCCAUAACUUUACCACUUCUUCUUGACAGCAUUUCUUUGUCUUGUAGAUGUGUCUUUUAACGUUUUAAUGUUUAAUCGUUAAAAUAGUAUCAAAAAAGUUGUUAAAUAAAAUAUUUGCGGGCAUCAACAAAGCAGGUUAUAGCACCUGUACUUGCGUCGCUGUUACUCGGUUCUUUACGCUGCGACAUUCAUCGAGUAGCGCGUAUCGAUACGGCUGGUCGAAAGCACAUAAACAAUCGGAGAGCUAUUGUGCUACUCUGCGGAGUUCGGGGUAAUACAACAAACACCAUUGUGUCAAAUUUCGCAUAUAUUUUUAUUCUAGAAAAAUUUCUUACUUCAAUUUAACUUUACUUUCACACAAUUUUACAUGGUUUUCUAUUGAAAAAAAAAUACGUGAUAUUUGUUGAAACCUACCUCUCCCCAAGUGAGAUCUGGAAAGAUUUAACUUGACCCCCUCCCCCCUUCGAACACCUCACGUAAUUUAUGGACGACACCAAAGACCGUGGCAAAUAUUUUUUUCCGACUUUUUUGAUUACCAGUUCAAAAGCUAUUUGUUAAUUGUUGACAGCUACUCUCAUUGGUUGAAAGUUUUUCCUACCCAAAUAAAACAGCUUUUACUAUGAUCAAGCAUUGUAAGGAUUUGUUUUCUAAAUUUGGUGUUCCUGAUAUCUUCUAUGCUGAUAAUGUUCCCUAUAACAGUAUAGAAUUUUGAUUUGGAGUUUUCUAUCCUUUUUUAUCACCAGUCAAAUAGUUUUGCAGAGAUGUAUGAGAAUGAAACAUGCUUAAAAAAUGUAUAACGUUUUCGAUGCAUCAAUUUAUAUCGAAUAUCCCUAGUCCUGUCAAGAGAUAGAAAAAAGAAGAAGAUAGCAUAGUAAUAAAAAACAUGGUAGCUUGAAAACCUGAUAAUGAAAGUGCUAAUAAAUAAAACUACUAGUAAAUAAAUAUAGUUUUAAUAAAACAUAUAAAAAAAAAGAAAUUGAACAAUAAAAAACGAAACAACAUGAAACAGUUGAUUGACUUGUAUGCACAAUACAGGAGUGAAGUUGGUACUUUCAAAGUAAAAAUGGUUAAAAUUAUGAAGCUGAAGAAAGCCACAGAGUUUAAAAAUAUUAGCAUCCAAAUAACACCAUUAUGAAUUAGUAAAAGGUAGUAGGAAGAAGCUUCAGAACAUAUGCGGAGAACCAGAAUAAAACAGGGAAAGAAAGAGAACAGAAAAAGGCCUCUAACUUCAACUGAAUGCUGACAGGAGUGGAAAUUAAAUUAUUACUAAAGAAAAAAAUUUCUUGCUUUAUCACAAUACCCAGUAAUAAGCAAACUAUACAUUUUGUGUCGCUCAACUGAAGAAGAUUAAUCACAAUGAGUAUUUGCUCUUUGGAUGGAUCGAUAUGACUUGAUAAUCUUACUAAUCUCCUUUUAUUCAAUAUGUAGUAAGAAAGCUACAAAUAAUUAUUUGUAUUGCUUCAGUACAAAUGAUCAAACUUUCCCUGAUAGAUGGAUAGGACAAGUUUAUUUAUUUGGCCAUCCAGAUCUUCAGACCUAACUUGCCUAGAUUUUUAUUUGUGGGGCCAAAUAAAGGAUCUUUUUUACACCAGGAUCCUAACCAAAACCGAGCAUUUGUGAUCAUCUUGUCUCUUGUAAAGAUUGCGCUCUGAGGUCGAGAGUUGGUUUCCUUCAAUUAAUUUCCUUCCAGACUCCAAAAUACAAGAUUAAUGAAAAGGAAUUGACCGGCUGACUUAAGAAAUGGUUAAAAUGGACUGGAAAACACGAUAUAUAGGAGCAAAAAAUGGAUUCACUAUGUAAAUUUGGUGAUAACCUUUGUACCGUUUCAGGGUGUUUUGGAGGUUAGUAUAUUUCCUGUGAUCUCAUAUUUUUAUUCUUAUUUCUUUCAUUAGCUCUAUUCACCUUAGUUUUUUCUCAGUUUUCAAUGGUGUAGUGUACAUGUCUUCAUUCUUAUAAUAUAUACAUAUCAAUUCAGAUGUAUCUUGUCUCAAUUUUUAUUGAUUUUUGUUUUAAUUGUUUUUCAAUUUCUAUAUUCUUUGUUUUAUCCUAAUUAAUUUUCUUUCGAAUAAUUAAGUAUCAUUGGGGUAAGAUAUGUUUUCUCUUUAUUGUCAUAUAUUCUGCUGUGUAGGUUAUAGUUGGUACUGUUGUAAAUUUAUUUGUUCUUUUAGCUGCAAAUAUCAGCAUUUUUAUAGGUUAUGUUUUUAUAUUCAAUUCUAUUCAGAUCUUCACAUUUUUUUAAUAUAUUUGAAUCUAUCUCUCCUAGGAGUGACCAUCCCAUGAUCUUGCGGGCCACGUAUGUUUUUAAAGAAAAUAGAAAAAAAAAGCCAAUCUGUAUACAAAUAAUACAAUAAGUUAUUGUGUUGUUAUUCGGCGAGCCACACAUAAAAUUAUAUUAGUAUUAAUAUAAAUAAAUACCAAAAACUUGGGAGGUAACAUUUUAAACAGAAUUAAUUAUUAUUAUAAAAUAACUUGUAGUAUUUAAUAAUUUCCCUAUUUAGUCAUUUAGUGAGAUAUUUGUUUCUCGAAUUUUCACUAAGCUUUUGUAAAUCAGCAGAAAUGCUUGUAUUUUCAGAUUUCUCAAAAGUGAAAACAAUACUAUUUGCUCGUAUAUGUUUUUUUCAGAUUAGAUUAUUAUUUUUACUUUUGUUGCGAUUCCGCGCUUUCAGGCAUUCCAGAAUAGACUAUUGGUACAAUAAUAAUUUUUUUUAAAUGUUUCAUAAAUUUCUAAGCCGCUAAACUCUCCCAGGCAGGCAGCGGGUUAGCCAUCCCUAGCCAAAGAACACCUCUGAGAUGAAGAGGAGGCGCUCCAUUAUGUUAGAAACAAAGAAAUGUAAACAAAAUGAGUAUUUACAUAUUGUAGUCUAUGAGUUCUUAGCCUAACAUAGAAAAGAAUAAUUUAAUAAAAUAAAACCAAUAUUAUAUCAUUAUAAAACCAGUAUAAAUAAAGUGACUCAUUUUAUUUUCUCA